rnacentral:rRNA from 1 species
CCCCUUGAGAGUGGCGAACGGGUGAGUAAUAUAUCGGAACGUGCCCAGUCGUGGGGGAUAACGUAGCGAAAGUUACGCUAAUACCGCAUACGAUCUACGGAUGAAAGCGGGGGAUCGCAAGACCUCGCGCGAUUGGAGCGGCCGAUAUCAGAUUAGGUAGUUGGUGGGGUAAAGGCUCACCAAGCCAACGAUCUGUAGCUGGUCUGAGAGGACGACCAGCCACACUGGAACUGAGACACGGUCCAGACUCCUACGGGAGGCAGCAGUGGGGAAUUUUGGACAAUGGACGCAAGUCUGAUCCAGCCAUUCCGCGUGCAGGAUGAAGGCCCUCGGGUUGUAAACUGCUUUUGUACGGAACGAAAAGGUUUCUCUUAAUACGAGGAGCUCAUGACGGUACCGUAAGAAUAAGCACCGGCUAACUACGUGCCAGCAGCCGCGGUAAUACGUAGGGUGCAAGCGUUAAUCGGAAUUACUGGGCGUAAAGCGUGCGCAGGCGGUUAUGUAAGACAGAGGUGAAAUCCCCGGGCUCAACCUGGGAACUGCCUUUGUGACUGCAUAGCUAGAGUACGGUAGAGGGGGAUGGAAUUCCGCGUGUAGCAGUGAAAUGCGUAGAUAUGCGGAGGAACACCGAUGGCGAAGGCAAUCCCCUGGACCUGUACUGACGCUCAUGCACGAAAGCGUGGGGAGCAAACAGGAUUAG